GAGUAAUGUACAAAUGGUAAAGAAUGUUGUUAAAGAUGGUAAAUUAUCAAAGAAAGAAGACACAACUACAGACGUCCUAAUCGUUGGAGCAACUACUGGAGGUCUAUUUUUGUCUCUUGACUUGUUAAAAAAAAAUAUAAAACAUACUAUUAUAAAUUCAGGAGAAAAAAAUAUAGAACGGGAUGCUACGAAUGAACAAUAUCUACUUUAUCCAAGAACAAUAGAAAUACUCCAAGAUUUUAAUAUUUUACCUGAAGUAUUAUUAAAUAGUUUAAAAUUAACUGGUAUAAAUUUUUAUAUAGAAAAUAAAUUAGUUAAUAAAACGAGUAAAGAUUUUUUUCAAAAUGUUAAUACAACUAUACCAUAUAUAUUAAGUAUUAAUAAAAAAGCAUUAAAUAAAAUUAUAUUAAAAAAAAUUAAAUCUAUAGGAGGAGGGUCAUUAAAUUAUAUGUCAUCGUAUAUGUGGGAUACGCAAAAUAUUUUGUUAAAUUAUAAGGACUGUGAUAAAUGUAUUGAAAAAGAUGUAUACAGAGAGAGAGGUAAAAUAUAUAAUAACGGUAAGGACAAAGAUAGACAUAACAGUAGCAAGAACAAUAGUAUCAGUAGAUACAGUCACACCAAUCAACAGCGUAAUAAUAUUAAUACAACGACCCUAUCCCAAAACAAAUUCAAUACAUCGUUAAGACGCACAAAUUACAAUAUAUUAGAGAAAAUUAAUAAUAACUAUCAUAAUUAUAACAGUUUGAGUAAAAAUACAAAAAAAAAAAAAAAAAAAAAAAAAAAAAAAAAAAAAAAGUUAAAAAUUUUGUACACUUUACCUUCUCUUUUAAAAAAAAAACAGAACGAAAAAAACCAAAAUUCAAAAAAUACAAACGAAAAAAGCGAAAGAGACGAAGCAAACGGGACAAAAGAGACAAAUAGAACAAAAAAAACCAAAGCUUUAAAUUUUAUUAAAAAUGAUAAAAAAAACAAAACCCAUAAUUAUACUAAUAAUAAUCAGGGAUAUAACACUGGUAGUAAUACAAUUGAAACUUCAAUAACUUCAUUUGAUUCUGAUGAAAUGUGUAGUUCUGUUGAUGGUGCUGACUAUAUAUCAAGCUUUCAUUCAGAUAUUUCUACAUCCAAUCUUAUUACAUCUUCUUUUACUUCUUCUUUUAAUUCCACUUCUUCCUCUUCACCUUUUCAACAACCCGAAUAUAAACAAAUAAAAAGUAAUUACCAGUAUAAAAAGAAGCAUCUUAGUAAGUUUGUAAGAAGAUCUAUUGUAAAUAAUCAACAUCUAGGUACUAAAAUAAAACCAUUAUGUUCAGACACUCUAAACAAACUGAACGACUUACCAGCUUACUACAAAUGUCAAGAAAAAAAAAUUAGGAGUUAUAGUAGUAAUGAUAUUUAUAAAUUUUGUAACAAUAAUCGCGGAAAUAGUAAUAAUUAUAUUGCUCACAAACGAACUACAAAAAAUACAAAAAAAAACAUAUAUUUUAAUGAUAUUUCUAACACUAAUUCAAUUUUAAUGUUAGAAAAAAAAAGAAAACUAAAUAAAAUAAAUAAAAAAACAACUAUAUAUAUUAAACCUAUAUCUGAAUAUUUAAAAAAAAAAAAAAAAAUCCAAAAAAAAACAACAAUAAAAAAAAAAAAAAAAUACCCUUCAUCGAUAAAAAGUAGAUUUGUAUUAGGAGUAGAAGGAAGAAAAUCAGUUGUUCGUAAAUUCGGUCACUUUAAAAUGAUAAAUAAACAAAGUGAGAGUAUAGAAUAUAUAUUUGUUGAUAUUUGUGCAAAUUGGAGUAAUAAUAUAUGUCAGUCUAGUUUAUCUUUUAUUCAAUCAGAACAUGGUUGGAUGUCUUGUUUUCCGAUACCUGUGGAUGUUAAAAAUAUUAAUACUGACAAUUUUUUUUGCUUUGAUAAUAAAUAUCGUAACACAAUUCAAAAAGCUAAAAUGCAAAUGUUUGUAAAAAAAUUGAACAGCUCUUAUAUGGGAUAUAGUUUAAACAAUCACAGUUUGAAUAGGCAAGGGUGUAGUAAUACCAUGAGUAAGAAAAACGGAUGUAAUAACUUUAAGUGUGGGAACCCCAAUUGUGGAAACCCUAAGUGUGGGAACCCCAAUUGUGAUAACUUUAAGGGUGAUGGCACCAUAUACGAUGGCAACAGUAAAAUUAUUAACCACUUAUCAGAAAAACAUGAAAAAGAUUCCUCUUAUUUUAAUAUACCAAAAGAAAGUAAAAAAGAUUGUUCUCCAAUUUUAUUACCAAAUAAUGAGGAUAUAGAAAAAAAAGGGAUGAUCAAUGUAUGUAUAGCCAGGAUAUUUUUAUCAAUAACAAUUGUGUUGUUAAGGGAGAGGAUGGAUGUAGUACGAACAAACAAACUGACAGUAACAAACAAACUGAAAGCUACAAAAGCAAUAAAAAAACGAAUCAGUUAAGUAGACAACAAACAAGCGAACACAAAAAAAAUUUAUCCAUAAAUUUGUUAAAUUCUUUAACAAUAGAAGAAAAAAUACCUAAUGAAAUAUUUCAAAACGUGGAAUCACAAACAAAUUUUACUAAUAUCGUAAAUGUUGAACUAAUCAAUGAAAGUGAAAAAAAACAAAAACAAAAUAUAUGUUAUGAAAAAAAAAAUAGUAGCAUAACUGAUAAUAUGAAAAAAAUAAAAAACACAUUUGAGAAAAUAGAUAAUAAUGA
ensembl:lncRNA